ACAGAGGUCCCAAGCGUUGUUCGGAUUCACUGGGCGUAAAGGGUGCGUAGGCGGCCGGGUAAGUCUGCUGUGAAAUCCCGCAGCUCAACUGCGGAACUGCAUUGGAUACUAUCCGGCUCGAGGAAUGGAGGGGAGACUGGAAUUCUCGGUGUAGCAGUGAAAUGCGUAGAUAUCGAGAGGAACACCAGUGGCGAAGGCGAGUCUCUGGACAUUUCCUGACGCUGAGGCACGAAAGCCAGGGGAGCAAACGGGA
rnacentral:rRNA from 1 species